rnacentral:rRNA from 1 species
AGCAGCCGCGGUAAUUCCAGCUCCAAUAGCGUAUAUUAAAGUUGUUGCAGUUAAAAAGCUCGUAGUUGAAUUUCGGGGUUAGUAGGUUGGUCAUGCCUCAGGUAUGUACUGGUCUCACUGAUUCCUCCUUCCUGAUGAAUCUUAAUGCCAUUAAUUUGGUGUUUUGGGGAAUUUGGACUGUUACUUUGAAAAAAUUAGAGUGUUUAAAGCAAGCUAACGCUUGAAUACAUUAGCAUGGAAUAAUGAAAUAGGACGUUUGAUCCUAUUUUGUUGGUUUCUAGGAUUGACGUAAUGAUUAAUAGGGAUAGUUGGGGGCAUUAGUAUUCAAUUGUCAGAGGUGAAAUUCUUGGAUUUAUUGAAGACUAACUACUGCGAAAGCAUUUGCCAAGGAUGUUUUCAUUAAUCAAGAACGAAAGUUAGGGGAUCGAAGACGAUCAGAUACUGUCGUAGUCUUAACCAUAAACUAUGCCGACUAGGGAUCGGAUGAUGUUAAUUUUUUAAUGACUCA